UUAACAAGGACUGUACUGGGGACUGUUCUUUAAAAGGCUGUUAAAUGAUGAUCCUAUAUUUUUUAACGUCAACAUCAUUUAGAAACCUUUUAGAGAACGGUCUUCCUCACCCACUACCACCGGCAAAAA
rnacentral:pre_miRNA from 1 species